AACGCAAAUUGCGCUCUCGGGAUAGGCCUGAGAGCACGCCUCUUUGAGUAUCGAUUCCACCACCUCCAGAACAAACUUGUUUUGACACUGGGAAUUUGAGUGCUUCAUAUCUCUUUUCUGAGAUGUGUCACUUGAAGCGGAAUGGAAUUGAGGGUGUUGCGAAACUGCUGUUGUUGAAUGUCAGUUUGCUGAAGUGGACUUGAACAUGGAUAAAUUUCCAAUGAUCAAUACGCUCUGGCUUUCUGAUAUCAGCGAAUCUAAGUUUUGCAAACAAAGAAGCCCUCUCCUAAACUAAUAACUUAACAAUCUAAGAAUUAGAUCUCAAAUGAAGCGAGACAACCCGCUGAACUUAA
rnacentral:misc_RNA from 1 species